GCAAGCAUGUUAGGCCACUUCCGGUUUUGCUGUACUCUUAGCAUUUUUCAAGAAUGAGGGCUCUUACAAAUAAAAAUGAUAAUCGAAUUUGCUGUGUACCUCAAUGUACAGUUAAGGCCUAUAAAUGUCCAACAUUGUCCUUCCAUGAAAUUCCAAAGGAUGAGCAAAUGAAGAAGCUUUGGCCUGUAAGAAUUCGAAGAGACGAAGGACCCCUCUUUCGGAUAAGAAGGUGGACAAAGGUUUGUAGCAGGCACUUUGUGCCAGAAGAUUUUCGCCCUUUACCCGUAAAAGGAAAGCAAGGAGACUAAAGCCAGAUGCUGUACCAAGCUUGUUUACAUGGAACAACUUUCAGCGUGGGAAAGAGAGAAAGCAGCCGGCAGUUCACCAUCUCCUGUCACUAGCAAAUAUCAACACCAAUCAGAGCAAAAGGGGGAUGCAAAGCCCACAACAGCGCCUGCAACAGCAGAGACAGAGUCUGCAACGGCAGCGGCAGAGUCUAACAGCAGACGACCUUUCUGUUGAAGAGCAGCUCUCCUUGGCAAAAGAAGAGAAUAAAGUUCUUCAAGAGAGGAUACGACAAUUAGAACAUCAUUUGCAAAUGGAGAGCAGCAGAAAAAUCAAAAACUUUGGGUUAGAACGUUUUUCACAAGAUGAUGGAAAAAUAGAGUUUUACACAGGAUUUCCAAAUUAUAACACAUUAAAAAUAUUUGACUCCAGCAUUGUGUCCCUUUCUAUCUGAACAGAUUCUUGCUGAGUGAUCUGAAAAAAAAAUUGAACUCCAUAAAGAAUAAAUGCACAUGUGGAUCUUGGGCUAUACCUACCACUUUGGAAGAGAAUAUACAAUAGUAAUUAAAAAGAAAAAAAUUCUUUUAAAGCAGGCUUACAUUCUCCAUUGUUUAUGACACCAUCCUUACCCAUUUAAAUUCAAAUGAUGAUCUUACAAAAUUAUUGUUUAUUAUCAACUUGCAACUUUUUAAAUCCAUGAGUCACAUGAAAAGGACAGCCAAAACUGUGUGCUCUAGUGCAAAAGGGUAUUUGGUUUGUUGUUGAAACUUUCCCUCAAAAGGGUUUCAUCAUAAACUGUAUCUAUGAGUACAUAAAAGAAAACAUGAUAAAUAAAAAUGACUGUAUACAGUUUGAAUGUACUUUCCACUUUAAAAAUAAAGUGUAUCUAAUAAUAAAUAAUGGGUGAUAUUUUGGAAAACAAACUUUGAGCGAGUUGAAAAGGUCCUUCUUUUCUUCUGAUAAAGAAGGAAUUUCUCCUGACAUGACAAUCUGAUUCCUUAGGGGAAGGUCAUUAAAUGCCUCUGCUUCAUUUAUAUUUAUGAAAAAGUUAUCGUGUAUUUUCUGUUGAUGAUCCACCGUACUUCCCCUUCGAUAUUUUCCGUAGUUUGUUUUUUACCUUGGAAGUCUGCUUCUUGCUUAUGGCAAAUGGAAAUAAUCCUGUGGAAUACAAUGUUGUAAUAAUCAUGACUACAUUAAAUUUUAAAAGAUGUUAUUUAUUACUUGAUGAACAAGAAUAAUGUCUUGAAAGCACAGUGGUAUCCACUUGAUAUUUACUGCUCAUUCUACUCCAAAUGGAACAAUCUGCUCUGAAACCAUUUCUUAUGGCAUAUGCAUAUAAAGAAAUUUAUCUUUUGUACGCCCUUUCAAGAAUAAAUAAAUGUUGAAUGUCUCUUUUUU
rnacentral:lncRNA from 1 species